rnacentral:rRNA from 1 species
AAUCAACGCUGGCGGCGUGCCUCAGACAUGCAAGUCGAACGAUUAAGACUUCCUUCGGGAAGUGCAUAAAGUGGCGCACGGGUGAGUAACACGUAAGUAAUCUACCCUCGAGUGGGGAAUAACGUUCGGAAACGAACGCUAAUACCGCACAAUGCAGCGGCAUCGCAAGAUGACAGUUGUUAAAGGAGUAAUUCGCUUGAGGAGGAGCUUGCGGCAGAUUAGCUAGUUGGUAAGGUAACGGCUUACCAAGGCUACGAUCUGUAUCCGGUCUAAGAGGACGGUCGGACACACUGACACUGAAUAACGGGUCAGACUCCUACGGGAGGCAGCAGUCGGGAAUUUUGGGCAAUGGGCGAAAGCCUGACCCAGCAACGCCGCGUGAAGGAUGAAGUAUUUCGGUAUGUAAACUUCGAAAGAAUGGGAAGAAUAAAUGACGGUACCAUUUAUAAGCUCCGGCUAACUACGUGCCAGCAGCCGCCGUAAAAC